GCGAGUAUAGCUUAGUUGGUAGAGUGUUGGUUUGUGGCACCGAAGAGAUGAGUUCGAUUCUCAUUACUCGCC
rnacentral:tRNA from 1 species